rnacentral:lncRNA from 1 species
UUUCAUGUCUCUCUCUAUAUAUAACUUCCACUGAAAUACACAUGUAACUUAUAAGGCCAAAGAAACGAGAGAUGGGGAAGAAGUGGAUUCUGAUGAUGAUAUUUUUGGUGGUGAUGGUUGUAGCCAGGGAAGGAGAAGCAGAAGGAUCGCCAUGUGAAUCACACUGUGUGAUCCACUGCGGAGGCCAUGCAUGGCCCUUCAGCAAGUUUUGCCAAAAUCUAUGUCUGGUUAAGCAAUGCAACUAUCCACCUGUAACCAAUGGUGAAGUGACAAUGUUUGUGUUUCUCUUUUCACUACUAUUUAUACAAAAAAAAAAUGUUGGGAGAUGUAGAAAAUCUUUGUGAUCGACGGAUAUAUCGGAAACUAACCAUAUUAUCUGAUAUUGACCGAGUAAUAUGCUAUUUUAAGAUAUUGUCAAUUAAUUAAAAUAGUCAUAAUCUCGUAAUCUAAUUUAUUACUUACUGUGAAUUAACAUAUGCCAAGAUCUUAAAAUAUAUCAUCAGUCAAACAUAUUUUUUGCUAACAUAUUAUAUUUAGUUAGAAAUCUAAAAUGUUAUGGGAAAAUCACAAAAUUAAGUUCUUGUAGAUUUACUACUAUAUUAAUUUAAAAGAUAUUUUACUUGUCGAAUUUUGUAAUGAUUACUUAAUGAAUGUAUUCAAUUUCAAAAAGCCCUAUUAGACGAAAAGUAAUAAAUAUAUUGGGUUGGGUUAUCCUCUUUGUAAAAGCAAACACAGAACUUAUAUACCCAUAUGUUUGGGUUCUAAGCUCUGAGGCCCAGCAAAAUAGGCCCAACAAAUGUGAGAAAUGCACAAAGAAAUAGAUUGUCAUACAAAGUAGUCCUCAUAUGUAUUAUGAGUAGACACAAAUAAAAAUAUCACAUCUUGGUCAUUUUCAUGUCUCUCUCUAUAUAUAACUUCCACUGAAAUACACAUGUAACUUAUAAGGCCAAAGAAACGAGAGAUGGGGAAGAAGUGGAUUCUGAUGAUGAUAUUUUUGGUGGUGAUGGUUGUAGCCAGGGAAGGAGAAGCAGAAGGAUCGCCAUGUGAAUCACACUGUGUGAUCCACUGCGGAGGCCAUGCAUGGCCCUUCAGCAAGUUUUGCCAAAAUCUAUGUCUGGUUAAGCAAUGCAACUAUCCACCUGUAACCAGCAAAGUGAAGUUAUCUCUCUAUGUGCUCGCACACAUACUCUUGAUUGUGUCUUUGUGUUUAUCCAGGUAUAUAUCUUUGUGCAUAGCGGAAUUGACAAGGUUUUUAAUCUUUAAAUACAAGUUGUUUGGGGACUUAGAAGGAUGAAGGCAAAAUGUUUAAAGGCUUGUCAUGAUGUAAACUCCUUUCUAUAAAAUUCCAAUAAGAUCUAUCAAAGGGGUAUAACCAAAUGGUUUUACAAAUUUAGG